GGGUCACAGAGUUCAACAGGGUUACAGUAGAUGGAAAGAAACUGUAGAUCUGCUUGGUAAUCUUGAAAAUGUAGAAAUCUUCAAUCUUUCAGUUUUCUUGUGUCUUUCUCUACUUUGCUAGUAAUCUAAAAAUCAGAACAAUUAUUACACUACCACUAUAAAAAUGUUUUAAUUAUUGUCCAUUUCAUGAGGCCCCUGAUGAUUUGAAAGGCCUGAGGAAAAUACAUCUUCUAGUAAGUCAGCCACUGAUUCCAGCGCUAAUCCAAGCGCUAUCUGCUCUGGUUCUUAGCAAUGGGCACUUACGUAGGACAUCAUCAAUGGGGCAUCUAAUCCAGGAGGGGCCAGCCAAUAAAUGCCUGUUUUUCAAAUACUUUGUCCUAAUUGUUCUCUUUUAGGAACAAUGGAGCAAGACAAAACAUUUUAUCUACUGAACCAAAAACGCUUUACAGUGACAGCCAUUAUUUUCCUGAGAGCUGCAACGGACCCACGACAGAGAUGGAAACCAAGUUUCCAUAAAGUCUUCAGAGUAGGUGCAACUGGUUGCAAUUACUUGAACUGAUACAUUUGGAGCAUGGUAGUGGUGUUCAGCAAUUGCAGUGCACAGGAUGGAAAACCAAUCUUUGGAACAGGUCAUACCUUGAUCAGCUGCACCAGGAAGCAAACAUUUGUCUAAAAGAAAUAUUUCUGUGGUCAGGUUUAAGCUGGGUUUCUAUAGCCUGGGAGGUUGAUCAGGCUCCUGGCUGGCCAAUCCCCUGCAUUGCCUUAAAAGGAUAUUCAAUUUCUGUUUAAGGCCCUGGCAUAUCGCCACAUGUCCCACCCAACCCACGGGACAGUAGAUGUUGAGAAUUGUGUCCUCUGAAUCUACAUGUCCUGCACAUCUAAUGCUAUUCUGGUUCUUACCAUGGUAUUUUCUUUACCAGGAACUGUAGACUAUAAUCCUUACGUAAUGGAGAGAGGGCACUUUAUUUAGCUUAUAGGACCACAACCCUGGUGUUGGCCCAUUGCACUGCCCUCUAUGAAAUUCCUGGGCUAAUCCGACCCCUGGGCUGAUCUGACCUCAGGAUUUGAACCCUGGUCUUGCAAUGAUGCAGCCAACUGUGAGUCAGUGACUUUGCUGUGGGGCCAUAUAGGGGUUGAAAUGUCACCCUUACCUUAAACCUAUCCUUAACCACGAGUGUGGUGCAGACAAGCCUUAUCCUACAUCAGCAUCAGGGCCUAUGCUCCAGUGAGAAACACUUGGCCUAAAAUCCAAACUGGCACCCUUGAAUGCAGGUCAGCUGCCACCCCUUGACAGGGCACCCGUGCUUCCAAUCAGGCUUCGUCAGGGGUAGUGUUAAAGGGCCCCAGAAAAGCAGCUCUGGGCAUGAAGAAGAAGCAGCAGGAGAAACGAGCAGGGUGAUGCUGAACAUUGCAGCUGCCCUCUGUAGAAAGCACUAGAAGAAUAAGGAUAGGAGAAGAAAAGUGCAGAGUUCACCAAAGCCAGGACCACCCCAUGAACAUCUACCAUGUGGCUAUUUUAGGAGAAGCUGCCUCACCACCACCAGUGUUUUGCCUUUGAGUUUUUUAUUGUUUGCUUAAUAAACACAUGCCAGAAACCUGCACCCUUGCACAGUAUUUGUUUCCUUGUGUCUUCUCACUGUUACUCAAGGUUAAUCUAAUGCCUAACCUUAAAUGAUGAUCACAACAUUUAGGUUUGUUUAAAAUUAUACAUUGUUGACUGUGGAAUCUGAUUUUGUGGCUAUAGAAUGUACUGAAACCUUUAUCUACCAUUAUAUAGAGUCUAUAUUGUCCUCUAACCAUAAACCUAAUAUAGCUUGCCACUUCAUGUUAUUUCUUU
ensembl:lncRNA